GGUCCGUGGAUUCAGCCACAUUCGAGCCAACUGCAGUGGACACGGUGCACGGGCGCAGCAAGCAUAACGUGUGGGAGCUACUGUACGCGCAUGUCUGAUUGCUGACACAACGCGGAACAAAGAAAGAACCCUAAGCAACGAGGAUAUAUCCGCGACCUCGUCUCCUGAAGCUGAAGCAGAGCGGGCAACAGUUUGACAACGAAUACCCUUGGUAGCAGGAAUUGUAGAGCUGUACUAUGAAGCCCCCUCUGUAUGAGAUGUUUUCACCGAACAACUGUUGUGUAAUAAAGGCUCUUCGUG
rnacentral:lncRNA from 1 species